rnacentral:rRNA from 1 species
CCCUUAGACGUUCUGGGCCGCACCCGCGCUACACUGACCAGUGCAACAAGCAUCCGUCCUUGGCCGACAGGCCCGGGCAAUCUUUGAACGCUGGUCGUGAUGGGGAUAGACUUUUGCAAUUUUUGGUCUUCAACGAGGAAUUCCUAGUAAACGCAAGUCAUCAACUUGCAUUGAUUACGUCCCUGCCCUUUGUACACACCGCCCGUCGCACCUACCGAUUGAACGUUUUAGUGAGGUAUUUGGACUGGACCUUCGGAGGUUCGCGCCUCCGUUGCUGUUCGGGAAGACUCCCAAACUUGAGCGUUUAGAGGAAGUAAAAGUCGUAACA